rnacentral:rRNA from 1 species
AUGAAGCACGCGCACCUGCUCGAGCUGCUUUACCACCUGGUCAUGCCAGCGGUGCCCAUGCUCACUGACACGGAGAAUGCACACACCACCCUGCCGCUCGGAGAAAUCGAAGUGCAUAUCUCUGUCCCUGAGGAGCAGCAACCGGGCGGCGGCAGCCAAGGCCAGGAGGAGAAGCCUUGCACUAGCACCGACAGCGAGCACGUGAUGAUGCAACUGUUCGAAUUCAUCGCGUUGAAGCUCAAGGGUGGUCGCCUUGGUAAGGAGAUCACGAUCCCACCGGUGUUCGAGCUGGUUAGCUCCGGCGUUAAGUUUGCGCCCACCAACGGCAACAUGUCUAGUGCGUCAACUAUCGCAUUCGACCGCAAGACAGCGACACUCUACCUCCCCGCGGUGACCCUCGACGGCAACACUGAGGUGGUGCUCCAGAACCUGAUCGCCUUCGAGUCAUCGCCGCAUCAGGCCCGCUGUGAGGGGGCCAACCUGUGCAACGGCAUGAGCCGGUCGGUGCAGCACUCCAAGGUGCCGACCAUGGACAAGGUUAUCGAGGAUGUGAACCGCUACUACGAUGGUCGGUGGCGCGUCAAGACGAAGCGGUUCAUGCACAAGUAUGUGCUCAGCUCGUGGAAGAUUCUCACCUUCCUCGCCGCCAUCAGCAUACUGCUGCUCACCACGUUGCAGGUCUUCAGCUCCAUUUACACAUGCUUCUGA